rnacentral:rRNA from 1 species
CACGUAGGGGCGAGCGUUGUCCGGAAUUACUGGGCGUAAAGGGCGCGCAGGCUGUUAUGCGAGUCUGCUGUGAAAUGUACCGGCUCAACCGGUGCCUUGCGGCGGAUACUGCAUAGCUGGAGUACUGGAGAGGGAAGUGGAAUUCCCGGUGUAGUGGUGAAAUGCGUAGAUAUCGGGAGGAACACCGGUGGCGAAGGCGGCUUUCUGGCCAGUUACUGACGCUCAUGCGCGAAAGCUGGGGUAGCGAACCGGAUUAGAUACCCCCGUAGU